rnacentral:rRNA from 1 species
GAUGAACGCUGGCGGCGUGCCUAAUACAUGCAAGUCGAGCGAACGGACGAGAAGCUUGCUUCUCUGAUGUUAGCGGCGGACGGGUGAGUAACACGUGGAUAACCUACCUAUAAGACUGGGAUAACUUCGGGAAACCGGAGCUAAUACCGGAUGAUAUUUUGAACCGCAUGGUUCAAAAGUGAAAGACGGUCUUGCUGUCACUUAUAGAUGGAUCCGCGCUGCAUUAGCUAGUUGGUAAGGUAACGGCUUACCAAGGCAACGAUGCAUAGCCGACCUGAGAGGGUGAUCGCCCACAUGGGAACGGAGCCGGGGUCCUGACGCCUGCGGGAGGGAGCAGUAGGGAAUCUUCGGCAAUGGGCGAAAGCCUGACGGAGCAACCCCGCGUGAGUGAUGAAGGCCUCGGGAUCGUAAAGCCCUUUUAUUGGGGAAGAACAGAUGUGGAAUGAACUGUGCACAUCUUGACGGUACCUAAUAAAAAAGCCACGGCUAACUACGUG